rnacentral:rRNA from 1 species
AUUGAACGCUGGCGGCAUGCUUUACACAUGCAAGUCGAACGGUAACAGGCCGCAAGGUGCUGACGAGUGGCGAACGGGUGAGUAAUGCAUCGGAACGUGCCCAGUCGUGGGGGAUAACGCAGCGAAAGCUGCGCUAAUACCGCAUACGAUCUGUGGAUGAAAGCGGGGGACCGUAAGGCCUCGCGCAAUUGGAGCGGCCGAUGUCAGAUUAGGUAGUUGGUGGGGUAAAGGCUCACCAAGCCGACGAUCUGUAGCUGGUCUGAGAGGACGACCAGCCACACGGGGACUGAGACACGGCCCAGACUCCUACGUGAGGCAGCAGUGGGGAAUUUUGGACAAUGGGGGCAACCCUGAUCCAGCAAUGCCGCGUGCAGGAAGAAGGCCUUCGGGUUGUAAACUGCUUUUGUACGGAACGAAACGGCUCUGGUUAAUACCUGGGGCUAAUGACGGUACCGUAAGAAUAAGCACCGGCUAACUACGUGCCAGCCGCCGCUGUAAAAC